rnacentral:lncRNA from 1 species
CCUGCUCCCAACCCCCUCCAGCCUCCAGCAGCAGCAGCAGCAGCACCAGCAGCAGCAGUGGCAGCAGCAGCGCCCCUGAAGUCUCUUGUGGAAGGCAGAACUGCCUUAGGAAGCAUGAAAGUGGACGCAGCCCUGUGCCAGGUGUCAACUAUUUGAGCUCGCUUCCCGGCCCCAUUGAUUUCCAGCUCCGCUCCCAGAUACUUCGCGAGGCGCUCCCUUUUGCCCGCCCGACUUCUGAGCGGAGCGCUCGGGUGGGAGGAGAACCGGCAAAUCCUCGCGGGCGCCGGGCGCUCGCGGAGCCGCCCGCGCCCAGCCCCGUCACGUUGGCUGCCGAGCGCAUCCCGGCUGCGCCCUGGCGGGGAGGCGCAGAGGGUAGCUAAGGGGAGCAGGUCACGUGAGAGGAGGAGUCUGACCUACUUUCCAGGCGGCAGGCGCAUGCGCACUUCCUAUCUGCGCGCUGGCCGGGAGGCUCACGUGGAAUCGCACGUGCCUGGUUCUCCAGCUAGGGGCUCCUGGCCGGGCGCGCGCAGUGGUAGGUCCGCGGUGGGACCGGCGGAGGAGGGCGCGGCAGGGCGGAGCGCUUGGAGACUUAAUCUGCGGGUCCCGCAAUCAUCAUCCGUGACAACCGCAGCCUCUGGAGAGCUGCUUAGGCGCCCUGCGGGGCUUCCCACGAAUUCAUCACAUUCAACAUUCGUGAAUUCAGAAAUUAAGACACAGACUGCCCCUCUGCCCUGUAAAUCACCAGUUCUGCAACUCAGAAUUUAUCCUGCAAUGGGCUUCUGCUCCUGUGAAAUUAAGUCCCUGAAAGGAUAAUCAUUACAUCAUUGUUGGACAUCACAGACGGCCGAACCAGUCAAAAUGUCCAACGAUAAAACCGGUUAAAUUCGUAGAAACAUAAAUUAUGGUUGGACCACACUUGAAGUUGUCUGCAGCUCUUAAAAACAAAUAGACUCUGCUCUCUAGACACUAAUAUGGAAAGACCUUCAAGAUACAUUAUGUGAUUUGUAAAAAAUGAUGCAGAACAGUGUAUGGGAUGCUGACAUUUGUGAGGAAAAAAAGUAUAUAUGUAUAUAUGUUAUGAACAGACUAGUUCUGAAAAAAUAUAUUGGAUGACUGGGGGUGGGGGUCAGGGAAGACGCAAAACUCCACACUUAUGUAACUUUUAAAUUUUGUAGCAUGGAUGAUUAAUCUUUUUUUUUUCAAAUAACAUUUAAAAACAGAGUUAUUUAGCACUUACCCUGUGCUGGGUACCAGCUUUUAUGUAAAUCAUUUCCUUCUAGAAAGUUUGUCAUGUACAGUAUCUGCCGCAUUUCCUGUUCUGUUCGGCUUGAAUCUUAAUGUCUUGAGCUUUCUGAUAAACUGUUGAGACAUUUUUUUAAAAAUCCCGAUAUGAACAACCCGAGUCCUCCACAUCUUUAAGAUUCUUUUCAAGUUCUGUCUCUUGAGGGAAGGUAUCUUAACCAAGAGGCUCUCAGCAACAAAUACUUGCAUAAUAAAGCCGACACAGCAGUUUUACACA